rnacentral:miRNA from 10 species
AUCGUAAUUCUGUGACGUGACA